rnacentral:lncRNA from 1 species
CUUUUUGCCAUUUCUUGGGCCGCUCCCACGGCACAUGGAGGUUCCCAGGCUAGGGGUCGAAUCGGAGCUGUAGCUACCGGCCUACGCCACAGCCACAGCAACGCGGGAUCCGAGCCGCAUCUGCCACCUACACCACAGCUCACGGCAACAAUGGAUCGUUAACCCACUGAGCAAGGGCAGGGAUUGAACCCUCAACCUCAUGGUUCCUAGUCGGAUUCAUUAACCACUGGGCCACGACAGGACUUCCAAUACCGGCAUUUUUAAGCAAAAUGGAUGGACCUAGAAAUUAUCAUGCUAAGUGAAUUCAGUCAGACAAUGAGACACCAACAUCAAAUGCUCUCACUGACAUGUGGAAUCUGAAAAAAGGACACAAUGAACUUCUUUGCAGAACAGAUACUGACUCAGACUUUGAAAAACAUAUGGUUUCCAAAGGAGACAAUUCAGGGUUUGGGGAGAUGUGCUGGGGUUCUGGGAUGGAAAUCCUAUAAAAUUGGAUUCUGAUGAUCAUUGUACAACUAUAAAUGUAAUAGAUUCAUCGAAUAAUUAAAAAAAAAUUUCCCUCGUAGUUAUGAAAACUGAAUUCUGAGUCCUUUGUGUGUUGCUUGUUUUUCAGCUUAUAAACAUUUUGCCCAAAGAGCCACAGCAAUGCCAGAUCCAAGCCGCUCUGUGAUCCACAACACAGCUCAUGGCAACGCUGGAUCCUUAACCCACUCAGCAAGGCCAGGGAUGGAGCCCACAACCUCAUCCUUCCUAGUUGGAUUCAUUAACCACUGAGCCACAAUGGGAACUCCUUUUUUGUUGUUGUUGUUGGUUUGUUUCUAUGCUCAAACAAGCUCCCUAAAGUUUGAACAGGGACUGAGUGGUUUGGGAUUUCUUGAGUGUGAUCUGUAGGGUCAGAGGACCCUUAUAUGUGGAAUCUAAAAAAAAAAAAAAAACCCAAAACAAACAUAACUAAACAGAAACAGUCAUAGAUAUUAAGAAUAAACAGGAGGUUGUCAGAGGGCAAGGAGCCGGGGGCGGGGGGGGUGGGGGAAUGAGAAAAAUAGGCGAGGGAGAUUAAGAGGUAACAAAUGUUUAGCUGCAAAAUCUGCGUCAAGGGUAUGAAAUGUACGUGCAGGGAGUACAGGCAAUAAUUACGUAAUGUCUCUGCAUGGCGACAUAUCAUAACUAGACUUUUGUGGUGAUCAUUUUGAAAUGUAAAAAAAAUAGUGAAUCACUAUGUUGUGUACCAGGAGCCAAGAGAGUGUUGUAGGUCAACUCUACUUCAAAAGUAUACAAACUCGUAGUUCUCUUGUGGCCACAUAAGGUUAAGAAUCUGGUGUUGUCACUGUGGUGGCUUGGGUCACUGCUGUGGUGUGUGGGUUUGAUCUGUGGCCUGGGAACUUCCAUAUGCUGUGAGCGCAGCACCCCCGCAAAAAAAGAAGCAUAUGAACUCAUAGAAAAAUAGAUCAGAUUUGUGAUCAGCAGGGUUAGAGGACGUGGGGGAGGGAAGAUUGGAGGAAGGUAGUCAAAAGGUACAAACUUCCAGUUAUAAAUAAGUACUAGGGAUGUAAUGUACACCAUGCUAGAGAUAGUACUGCUGUAUGUUACAAAUGAAAGAGAGUAAAUCCUGAGUUCUCACCAAAGGAAAAAAGGCUUUUUUUUGUUUCUUUAAUGUUAUAUCUAUAUGAGAUGAUGAAAGUCCACUAAACUUACUGCGGUCAUCAUUUCACGAUACAUUUAAGUGAAAUUAUUAUUCUGUGUACCUUAAACUUAUACAGUGAUGUGUGUCAAUACAGCUCAAUAAAACUGGAAGAAAAACAAAUAUAUAGAUAAACCCUGUGAUUAGAACUAAAUUAAAAAAAAAAGUGCCAGAAGCUAGACCUCACCAAUUCAGGUCUGAACAUCAGGGUAUUUUAAAAGCUCACUAGGUGAUUCUGAUGUGUACUAGGAUUCAGAAUUCAUUGGACCAGUCACUUAGUUUCUGUGACUACCAGUUUGCAGCUCAUGGAGAUGAUAUUAGGAUACUAACAGCAUCUGCUACCUAAGAAACAUGUUCAAAAUAAAUGGUUUGGUACAUAAAGUUGCAGCUCAAGUCAGCAUAUAAUGAUGCACAAUAAAUUUAAGAUCUCAGUCCACUCCUUCCUUCUGACAGACUGGUUUCAGAGGCAGAUUCUAGUUUUCUCCAAAGAAACAGUGCUUUUCAAACUAGUGAGGAGUAACCUUGAUUUUGGCUACUAUAUUAGCUCUCUAUUGCCCCAGUAACAAAUUAAGCAGCUUAAAACAACACCAAUCUGGAGUUCCCGUUGUGGUUCAGUGGUUAAUCAACCCCACUAGGAUCCAUGAGGGUGCAAGUUCAAUUCCUGGCUUCGCUCAGUGGGUUGAGGAUCCGGGGUUGCUGUGAGCUGUGGUGUAGGUCGCAAAGGGGGCUUGGAUCCUGAGUUGCUGUGGCUGUGGCGUAGGCUGGCAGCUGUAGUUCUGAUUCAACUCCUAGCCUGGGAAUCUCCAUAUACCAUGGGUGUGGCCCUAAAAAAACAAAAGACAGACAACAACAACAACAACAACACACUAAUCCAUAAGCUCACAGUUCUGUAGCUUAGAAGUCCAGGCAGGUCAGGCUGGGUUCCAUGAUCAGGGUUUCAGGCCAAAAUCAAAGAUUUGGCGGGUUGUGUUCCUAUCUGGAGGCUUGGGUGGAGAACACACUUUCGGGCUCAAAGAGGUUGUCCACCUUGCAGUUGUAGAACUGAGGGCCCAUUUCCUUGUUGGAUGUCAGCUGGGAUUCUCUGCUGCUUGAGGCCCUGAGCAUUUCUUCUCACGAGGUCUCCUCUAUCUUCAAAGCAACAAUGGGGUCAAGUUCUUUCAUGCUUCGGAUCUUUCUUUUCUGCUCCAGCUGGAGAAAGCAUUCCAUUAAAAGCUCUUGUGAUUACAUUAGGUCUGUCUGCAUAAUGCAGGAUAAUCUCUGUAAGGAAAUAAACUGUGCUUUUUCACAAGAAAAUCAUGGAACUGAUAUUGCAUCAUCUUCACAGGUUCUGGGGAUUAGGAUUGGCAGGUUUGGGGAGCCGAGACUAUUUUAGAAAUUCUGCAUUCUACAGCUGCCCAUCCACUUCCCUGUUUAGCACCCUUUUACCUCAUUGGCACACAUUCAUCCUUCAAUCUUGUUAUCAGCUGCUAUUUGGCAAUCCCUGGGUCAAUGUUACUACUGUCAUGUCUUCCACUGAAGCUAUAUUAGGUAUAAUUUAUUUCCCUUACUAGGCAAAAACCAGGGUAGGAAUGAGGCCAGCCUCACAUGUAUGCCCGGUCUUGAACAUGGAAAACAGUAGGCUGACCUGACUUCAAGGUGCCUGAGGCAUCAGGCAGUCAGGCCUGGGAAUUCCAAUCAGAAACAAAGCAAUGACAAAGAGGGGACAGGUCAUUCCAAGGGCCAUAUGAGCAACACUGACAGCUAAGCACUCCUGUGCUCAGAGGUAGUUAUGACUGAAGAUGAUUUCAGGGCCAUGGCAGUCUCCACCAUCACACCAAUCAUGCUGCACGACAGCCCCCAAUGUCCCCACCUCCUAAACGCAAUUUGACUUUUCUCAGAAGCCCAGAUUGGUUCAGAAAAGUUCCCUUGGGAGCAAAGCAUACUUAUCCAGAGUAAUUUAAGGAGUUCUCAGUCAAGUAUUGGUUUAGCUUUACUUCCCAUCUUUAAAUUGGGAAAAAUUUAAAGUAUCGAAAACAAAAAACAGAGUGAAGAGAGGGAAAGUCUAGACACUCUCGAAAGGCCAAAACAAAACAAAGGCUUGAAGACAGAAGCCAGAGAUGACCUUCCUUGGCCACAUUUUUACCGUGAUUCUGUGGUGGACACCGUGGGGUGCAGCCCAGUCUCCCUGUCAAGUUUGAGGCACCUAUUCUCCUGCUGCCAAGAAUGUUGUAACUGCUGGCUCUCAGCCCUCAGCUAAGAAAGGUACCUUGUCCAAGAUCAUGCCUUCUCCCUGGGCAGUCCUUAUCCAGUGACCUGGUAAAUACAGGUUUCUCAGCUACCUGAAAGGAGACCGUUCCUAUGAAAACUUUCUUCUUUUUAGUGCCACACCUGUGGCAGAUGGAAGUUCCCAGGCUAGGGGGUCUUCAAAUCAGAGCUGCAGCUGCCAGCUUAUACCACAGCCACAGCAAUCCCAGAUCCAAGCUGUGUCUGUGACCUACACCACAGCUCACAGCAACGCAGGAUCCUUAGCUCACUGAGUGAAGCUGGGGAUCAAACUCUCAUCCUCAUGGAUAGGAGUUGGGUUCUUAACCUGCUGAGCCAUAAUGGGAAUGCCUUCUGUGAAAACUCUCAUGAACUGAAAGCGCAUAAAGCAAAGAAGCAAUUACCUUAGGACGCAUCUUGCUAACAGAUGCACAAAGUAAAUCAAGAUAGAGCAUAGAUGUUCAACAACACAGUUCAAAACUAUGGUGGCCUGAUGCUGAGGUCCUGAGUGUAGUUCCCAGGGAAGGAGCUUGGCGAUGCCACUCUCCCUCCUCUGCUCAAGGUGCGUGUGGUCACUGUAAAGGUUGCAUCACUGCAAAAGCAAUGCUGAAUACUAUUUUCACUUUUCACCUUUCUUUCAUAAAAGUAAAAACCCUCUUUGGAUUUCUUCAGAUGAGCAAAAAUAGGAACUAAUAUAGCUGUUUCAUAAAAGUGAAGUGGAGGAAAGCAACUUUUGAAAAAUGAAGGAUACCUGUAUAAGGGCCAGGUGGACAAGGCCGAAGGGCCAACCCAGGUCCAGAGUUUCCUUGAGGCACUGGCUCAGGCCCUUCUUAGGUCUGUUUUAGAGUUCAGCACCUCCCUCUGCACACACCUAUCCCCUUUGCUUCCCUGUGGGUGUGAAUCCUGCAUGCUCAUCUCAGGCCAGCAACAGAUCCUAAAAAUGUCCCAUUAACCCUGAGGAUAGACUGACUACCAGAGCCUCCACAUUGGAUGUGUUUGUGUGUGUAGGCAUACAUGUAUGUGUUCUUGGGUUUAAUUGGAGAAACAAUGGGCAGACAAUCUAGCAAUCUAAAAUAUGACUGGAAAACAAAUUUACUGAUUUUAAAACUGCAUUAUGAACUUCGCAUUUUAAGUCUCAAUUUCAUCUGCCAAAAACGGGUCAGAAAGCUAAUAAUGAAAAGGUGAAAAAUUUGGAGAGGCAUAGACAUUGUGAAUAUACUAAUUUUGAUUUUAUAUGUUAAGGUCACAUGCCUGAUGUGAUUUCAGUUUGGUAGGAGAGUAGACUGCAAUUAUUCCUAUUCACCAACUCACCCUUUCACCACCCCGGUCUUUAUCUUCCAGUGGGGAGAUGAAUUGAGAGCAAAAGAUAAAAUUACUAGCUGGAAUUUUGUGAAUAUCAUACUCAAUGACUUCUAGGAUACAGUCUUACAUGAAGAGAUUUAAGAAAAUAGAAUUGGGGAAAAACAGAAUUACAUAUUUAGUUGAAAAUUAGAAAGAUGACAUUUUAGAUUCACAGAGAGCAAGAAUUAUAUCUCCCGAAGAUGCCUGCAAAGAGUAGGUCAUGCAUAAGUGUUUGUUCAACUAAAAGGAUCUCAAGCUGUGACUUCAUUAGUUAAACAUUAUAGCUGAAACAUAUCUGUGUGCUGUGGUCACAAUCCAGGGGGUUUAGGCUAGGUUUGGUAUUGACGACUCCUCUAGCUUUAAAUAAAUUCAUUCUGUUACGUCAGUUUUUCUUAAACGUCAGUGUGCCUUGGCUCUAGAAGCCAGACUGUUCCUUGUCAGAUCAUUUCUGUCAUUCUUUCUCACAUAAAAGAGGGUGUGUAUUGAUUGGUGUACUAUGAGGGUGUUAGGAGAUUUUAUGUCUAUUUUACCACACUCCAGCCUCCUGGGUGUGAUUUUGACUUAUAUUAAAGCUAAUAAAAGAAGUCAAAUGUUUGCUGACUUAGAACAGGUUGGGUUGAACCUCAGGAAGAAGCACCUGUGGAGCGGUGAAAGAGGAAGUAACGAUGACAGCUCCUAAUGUAAACAUGAUACACCAUGGGGUGGGGAUGAUUUCCAAUCCUUAGAUGUGAGAAAGACAGUAACUUUUAGAGAGGAAACCAUUAACAUCCUAGCACCCUACUAUGCAAGGUAGAGUCUGGAAAAAAAGUGUCAGUUCAAAGUAAAUGAAUCUACUUUCUUUAACUUCGUUAAAAACAAUAAAAAUAAUACUCUCACCGAUGAUAAUAACUGGACUUUUGGUAAAGUCACUGCCUCACAUUUUUAUACCAUCUGUUUCCCUUGCUUCACUUAUUUGAAUUUCAGUAACAAGAAGAAGUUUGGGUAAUUCUACAUCCAAGAUUUUAGAUGCAGAAAGGAAAAUAAAAGAACCCUUUAAAGCACAUCCUGAUAAGCAGGUUUCAAAUAAUCCUAUGCAGUGAUCUAGUGUUAUUAAAGAGCAAAUUUAGAAAAUAUUCUGCAAGUUUAGGAUUUGUAAAGACUACUGAAUUACUGAGGCUAAUUAAAUUACCCUGCUUAAUACACAGCAAAGAUUCCAUAUUAAAGCACUAAUUUACAUUACUAU